rnacentral:rRNA from 1 species
GAUGAACGCUGACAGAAUGCUUAACACAUGCAAGUCUUUGGCGAAUCUGUGCUUGCACAGGCUAGCCAAGGCGGACGGGUGAGUAACGCGUAAAGAACUUGCCCUGCAGACAGGGAUAACAGACGGAAACGACUGAUAACACCUGAUACAGUUGCCGGCACGCAUGUGCCUGGCAAUGAAAAGAGAUGCUGCAGGAGAGCUUUGCGUCCUAUUAGCUUGUUGGUGAGGUGACGGCUCACCAAGGCGAUGAUAGGUAGCCGGCCUGAGAGGGUGAACGGCCACAAGGGGACUGAGAUACGGCCCUUACUCCUACGGGAGGCAGCAGUGGGGAAUAUUGGACAAUGGGGGCAACCCUGAUCCAGCAAUUCUGUGUGCACGAAGAAGGUUUUCGGAUUGUAAAGUGCUUUCAGCAGGGAAGAAGAAAGUGACGGUACCUGCAGAAGAAGCGACGGCUAAAUAC